UGCAUGUAAAACUAUAGCCAGAGAUUCUCCUUGCUUACACUGUUUUUUCUUAUUGAUGUUAUUAUAACAGAGUCCACCACUAGGGAAGAGAAGAGGGCUGGACUCUUGUCUUGGACUGCCAUCAUGCAGCCUCUCCUGUGUGACAGUAUAAGACAGCAAGGACAAGGGCUGGAUGCUGAUAACUCACUGUAUUCAUAACCUUAAAGCGCUGUCGCAAGAAAAUAGUUCAUGAGAAAGAGAGAUGGAAAUGGCCCUUGGGGCCAUAUUUUCAUCUCAGCAACACUGGUGUUAAUCCAAAGAUGUCAUGUGAGCAGAAAGCUGUCAUGGUGAGUGGGAAAUUCAAGACUGAUGUUAGAGCUUCUGUAAUACCUCUGGACUAAAGGCACAGAAAAUAUUGUGAUGUCUGUGUUUUUUUUGUAAUGCAGUCACCUGCUGGUAAAGCAGAUUUCUCUACAGUGCAGUUGCCAGCUGGUAAAGUAGGUUCUCAAUACUAGGUACCUCUUUGCCUUCUUCCCCUUCUAUAUAUACCGAGAGGAGGGGAAAAGGGUGUUCUUUUGUGGCUGGAGCUUCUGCCUGUAGGAUUGUGGAAGCCCUCUUAGCAUGACCUGCUGAUCUUAGGUAAAGUUUGGUGUGACCCAAAGAGUUUGUAUUAUGUCAGAAGCAAGAGAAAUCUCAACUUUUUUAAAACAAACAAAACAAAAAAACAACAACAAAAAAAAACAGUAUUAAGGAGUAUUCCUCUUUUUUUUUUUUUUUAACUGAACUGACUCAGCAGUGAAGCCCUCUGGAAGUAUGCUUUGGGUGACUUGGAGUAGCUUUCUUGUUCCCUAACAACUAUUUUUUCUCAAUACCCUAAAGACUAAGAACAUUUGUGGAUAUUGCAUGCCAUAGAGUGUUGCUGUUGGCAUAAGACAGAGCAGGGGAGUAAAUCUGGUUUAUAGCAUAAAAUCUUGCAGCAAAGGACACAUAAGUAAAGUAGAUCUCAU
rnacentral:lncRNA from 1 species